AUUGAACGCUGGCGGCAUGCCUAACACAUGCAAGUCGAGCGAGCGGCGGACGGGUGGGUAAUGUAUGGGGACUGCCCGAUAGAGGGGGAUAACUACUGGAAACGGUGGCUAAAACCGCAUACUAUCGGAUAACCCUUAUUGGGGUAGCUAGUGGGUGUGGUAAAGGCUCACCUAGGCGACGAUCUGUAGCUGGUCUGAGAGGAUGACCUGCCAUACUGCGACUGAGACACGGCCCAGACUCGUACGGAGGCAGCAGUGGGGAAUCUUCCACAAUGGGCGCAAGCCUGAUGCAGCCAUGCCGCGUGUAUGACGAAGGCCUUAGGGUUGUAACAUACUUUCAGCGGGGAGGCGUUAGCCGCAGAAGAAGCACCGGCUAACUCCGUGCCAGCAGCCGCGGUAAUAC
rnacentral:rRNA from 1 species